ensembl:lncRNA
CAGCCUUGAAACGUGCUGGUUCUGCACUGCUGCUGGCAGGGCUCCUGGCUGGGCUAAGCCUGCCUUCCAAAGUGGGGUUCUGCCCAGGAGGGCUUGGGAGCGGGUGGGGAAUCACUUGCUUAUCCCUGUUCGGCUCUGCAAGACGGCAUGGAGGGCCUGUAUGGAGAAGAUGUUGCCAUGAGGAAUUCACGUUUCUUACUUCAGCAGCGUGAGCUGGGUAUUCCCUAAUCCUGACUCUUUGGCCCAUUACUCCUUUGAACUUCCUGAGACGGCAGCGGGCAGAUGGAGCAGCUGAGUUCUGGCCUGUUUGAGACAAACUGGGGAGGCUACCGAGAAACUCCAGCUACAGCAACGCCUGUUGUCUGUCUGUGUGAGCUGUGGGUCAUGCUGCAGCACUACACGCAGCAGUCCGGAUGGCAGCCAGGAUAUUAAUUAGUAGCUACAGAGCUUGGUAUGGCCUGGCUCUGGACCCACUGUUUGGUUUGGGUUGUUUUGUUCUGUUUUGUUUUGUUUUGUUUUCUGUAAUCAGCUGUUUUAUUUCCAUUUUUUAUGAAGAAAUCGUAUUCUAACUAUUCUGCU